rnacentral:rRNA from 1 species
AGCAGCCGCGGUAAUUCCAGCUCCAAUAGCGUAUAUUAAAGUUGUUGCAGUUAAAAAGCUCGUAGUUGAAUUUCGGGAUCAAUAUGUCGGUCGUGCCUUCGGUACGUACUGGUAUCAUUGGUCUCUCCUUUCUGACGAACCAUGAUGUCAUUAAUUUGGUGUUAUGGGGAGUUAGGACUGUUACUUUGAAAAAUUAGAGUGUUUAAAGCAGGCUCACGCUUGAAUACAUUAGCAUGGAAUAAUGAAAUAGGACGUUUGAUUCUAUUUUGUUGGUUUCUAGGAUCGACGUAAUGAUUAAUAGGGAUAGUUGGGGGCAUUAGUAUUCAAUUGUCAGAGGUGAAAUUCUUGGAUUUAUUGAAGACUAACUACUGCGAAAGCAUUUGCCAAGGAUGUUUUCAUUAAUCAAGAACGAAAGUUAGGGGAUCGAAGACGAUCAGAUACCGUCGUAGUCUUAACCAUAAACUAUGCCGACUAGGGAUCGGACGAAGUUAAUUUUAUAAUGACGCGUUCGGCACCUUAC